CCUACGGGAGGCAGCAGUGAGGAAUAUUGGUCAAUGGCCGGAAGUCUGAACCAGCCAAGUAGCGUGAAGGAUGACUGUGCCAUGGAUUGUAAACUUCUUUUAUCUAGGAAUAAAAUCUUCCUCGUGUGCGUUUUCGUAUGUACUUGAUGAAUAAGCAUCGGCUAACUCCGUGCCAGCAGCCGCGGUAAUACGGAGGAUCCGAGCGUUAUCCGGAUUUAUUGGGUUUAAAGGGAGCGUAGGUGGGGUGUUAAGUCAGUUGUGAAAGUUUGGGGCUCAACCGUAAAAUUGCAGUUGAAACUGGCAGUCUUGAGUAGAGGAGAGGUGGGCGGAAUGCGUGGUGUAGCGGUGAAAUGCUUAGAUAUCACGAAGAACUCCGAUUGCGAAGGCAGUUCACUGGACUGCAACUGACACUGAGGCUCGAAAGUGUGGGUAUCAAACAGGAUUAGAUACCCGAGUAGUC
rnacentral:rRNA from 1 species